UGAUCCUCCUACCUCAGCCUCCUGAGUAGCUGGGACUACAGGCACUGAGAGAGUUGUUAAAGUCUUUAACCAUGAUUGUUGACUUCUCUUCAACAACUUCUCUUCUUUCAACUACUGCUUAAUACAUUAAAGCUCUAUUUUGAGCAAGAUCCCUGUAGUCAAGUUCCUGAGGGAUCUCUGCUUGUUAUCAUCUGUUUCAAUUGUGUGCAUUGUAUAUCUACUAUUGAAGAUUUGAAUAAUGACACAUUCUCCAAGUGGCUGUAAGUUUGAUUAUGAUAAAACUCUCUGGAGAAUUCUGUGAGCUUUCACAUCUGGUGGAGAACUCCAAUAAGAACAUCUCUAAUGAGGAAUUCCUGGAACAAGAAAUUACAGAUUAUCUAUUUUUUAGAAGACAUGACAAGAUGAUGUUGUGGAUUGAAUAGAGGACAGCACUGAAUUUGAAAUACAGAUAGCUUGAAAUUAAUAUAAAAUUUACAUAAAUAUGUGUGGAAGAUUGUAUACAGAGCAGAAUUAAUUAGAUGCACAUAGUAGGCAAAGGGAAAAGAAAAACACAUAAAAAGCA